GUCCACGCCGUAAACGAUGGUGCUAGUUGUCAGGCCAGCUUGCUGUUUGGUGACGCAGCUAACGCAUUAAGCACCCCGCCUGGGGAGUACGUUCGCAAGAUUAAAACUCAAAGGAAUGACGGGGGGCCCGCACAAGCGNUGGAGCAUGUGGUUUAAUUCGACGCAACGCGCAGAACCUUACCAACCCUUGACAUGUCUCGUAUGGUUUCCAGAGAUGGAUUCCUUCAGUUCGGCUGGCGAGAACACAGGUGUUGCAUGGCUGUCGUCAGCUCGUGUCGUGAGAUGUUGGGUUAAGUCCCGCAACGAGCGCAACCCCCGCCUUUAGUUGCCAUCAUUUAGUUGGGCACUCUAGAGGGACUGCCGGUGAUAAGCCGGAGGAAGGUGGGGAUGACGUCAAGUCCUCAUGGCCCUUACGGGUUGGGCUACACACGUGCUACAAUGGCGGCGACAAUGGGCAGCGAAGGGGCGACCCGGUGCAAAUCCCAAAAAGCCGUCUCAGUUCGGAUUGUACUCUGCAACUCGAGUGCAUGAAGGUGGAAUCGCUAGUAAUCGUGAAUCAGAAUGUCACGGUGAAUACGUUCCCGGGCCUUGUACACACCGCCCGUCACACCAUGGGAGUGGGUUGCUCCAGAAGUAGCUAGUCUAACCGCAAGGGGGACGGUUACCACGGAGUGAUUCAUGACUGGGGUGAAGUCGUAACAAGGUAGCCGUAGGGGAACCUGCGGCAGGAUCACCUCCUGAAGCUUGGAUUCCCGGG
rnacentral:rRNA from 1 species